rfam:Streptomyces sp. 769, complete genome.
CUUCAGGGAGCCCAGGCGCAGCGGCCGGUCCGGGUCCCGGUCCUGACCGUAGGCGGCGAGCAGCGCCCGGGCCUC